GACUCAUUCCCACUUCCCAUCACCAUUUCCGUGUGUGCUUUUCUCCCUCCCCCUGAUCUCUUGUUGGCUAAUAACUCUGUUUCCAUUUGAGGCUCAGCUCCUGCAUAUUCCAUCUCUCAUGACGCCUACUGCAGAGAAAGCGCGGCCGUUGCCGAAAUUCGGCGAGUGGGAUGUGAAUAACCCGGCCUCAGCCGAUGGAUUUACAGUGAUAUUUGCCAAGGCAAGAGAUGAGAAAAAAGGAACCGGAAACUCCGCCGCUCGCCAACCGCCUGCAGCAAGGCCCGGUGAUCCCCGUGAUGACGACCUCCCCACGAAAAGGCGGUUCUGCUGUUUCUGAAACAUGAGUAGGAGGUUGUAAUUUGUAAAGGAUGUGAAAGCAGGGCAGAGGAAGAAAUAAUGUAAUUUCCACAUUUUAUUUUAAAUAUUUUUAUCUAAAAUAUACUUAGUAAGUUAGUAAUUGGUUUUAUUUAUGUCACCAAUUACUAAUUAUUGAAUAGUAUAUUCAUUCAAUCCCGACGUUAGAUAAAACCAACUUAUUAUGUAAAAAUAUCAAAAAAAAAUAAGAAUGUGUUAAUGGUAUUAUUCUUUACUAUUA